rnacentral:lncRNA from 1 species
AGUGUAAACUUCAUAGGGAUUUGUGAACCAUUUUUCAGGAGUGUGUCCUGUUUUUGUCAAUUAUGUAGAGAGUAUUGCAUGAAUGAAGCUUUUUUUUUUUUUUUUUUUGGUUGAAUUGCCUGAUGUUAAGAAUGUUUAGAAUUCAUUGUGAGAGGAAGAAAUGAGUUUGUUUUGUUCAUUCGUUCACUUUAACAAUUUAUUUAACUUUGUGUACAUUGGUAGAAGGGGAUCAGAUCCCUUGGAACUGGAGUUACAGACAGUUGUGAACUGCCAUGUGGGUGCUGAGAACUGAACCCCGGUCCUUUGGAAGAACAGACAGUGCUCUUAACCACUGAGCCAUCUCUCAAGCCCCAAGAAAUGACUUUAUCCAUACUGGUUAAUUCUAUUGAAGGCUUUUUGGGGUUUUGUUUGGUGUUUUUUCUAAUUGUAAAAGUGUAGUGACAAUUCAGCUACCAUAAAAUACCAAAUUUUAUGACUUUAUAGACUAUUCUCUGAUAUUAAAUACUUUUUGUGAGUUGAUGUAGGAGAUGUAAAAGUAAGGAGAUUUAAAUUAUACAUUAGUCCCUAAGGAAAAAUUAAAAUUACUAUUGAAGAAAAAAAAAAUGUGAUCCACUUUGGUUCUCAGGGUAUUUAAUGACUCAUCUGUGCGUCCACUAAAGAAUUUCUUUCCUUUAAACUAACAUAGGAGUUGAAAUCCCUUUUACAGAGCAAGGCAGGUGUCUGUGUUCAGGAUCUGUUUCCCAGGCAUGGUAGUGCAGACCUGUAUCCAGGAUCUGGGAAGUGCAUCAAAAGAAACCAGAUGGGCUGAAGAGAUGGCUCAGUGUUUACGAACACUUCCUGCACUUGCAGAGAACCUAGGUUUGGUUCCCACCCUUAUCAGGUAGCUCACAAUUUCUGCAAUUCUAGUUCCAGGGAAUCGAACACCUUCUGUCCUCCCUGGGCAUCUACAAAUAUAUGGUGCACAUAAAUUCAUACAGGAACACGUGUAUAAAAGAAAUAUAUCUUAAGACAAAAUUGCAUUUGCAAUACUGCUGUAAGAAAAACAAGAACAGGUUUGCUCCUACCCAGCCUGACAGAGUUGGACCUAACUUGUGUGAUGCCUUGUGAGUGCCUCUCCGCUGCCUUGUGAGCAGUUAUUAGCCUAGGAGAGUUGUCUAAUUCCUUAAUAUCCUACAGCAGUGGGGCCUCUCACUUGUAACUCUGACCAGCAGCAGUUCCGGUCUCCAGAGAGAAAUCUCUUAUUUGGGAGAGCUCUUUUAUUUGUAUAAAAUACUGAUCAUCAUUUUCAGAUUUCUAUUAAAUUUUUCCCUCUAGGUUUUUUACCUCCAUUUUGUAAAGCUUAGCAGUUUGCAAAGGGAAAUGUGAAAUUUUUCUUAGACACAUAAGUGAAUACAGCAGGAAUUAGCACAACUAAUUAUUGUAACUUCCAGUGCCCUGGGCUGCAGCAGGUGACUUGCUGUGUAACUUCCCAGUCUCUCACUAUAAUAUACUCCUUGUCAAUGACAAUGGUGUCAAUCGAUUUCUGUUCAAAUUCAGGCAGUUAUCAGAAACCUAGCAUUGGCAAACAACUUUUUCCUCAUCUUAGGAUAAUACAAAUGUAUUUUAAGAGUCAUGCUUAGUUGGAAUCUAAAUUCUGAGAAAAAUGCUAAAAAAUACACUUAGGAAAUGGUUUUCAAGUCAUAAAUUAUAAGUGAUAUAGCUAUAGAAACAAUGCAGAAAAUCAUCUGUCAGGUGAGCAACAGAUGUAUGUAAAACUGAGGGUAUGUGUACUGUAAUUUUAUAGUAAGUAUCUGCAUUAUGCUUUUGUUAGAGAAUGGAAAUUGUUUAGUUCAGAAAUUCUUAACAGUUAAGUGUGUGAACAAAAGUGUUUUAUAAAUGCUUAGGAUUCUACAAAUGAUAAUUGUUAUUCUCAUGUAUAUUUGUAAGAUCAUGUCCAUUCAUAAAUAUAUAUAAAAGACUUGGUCAAAGUAAAUUUGUAUUUUAGUAUUUUUGUCUGUUGUAAAAGUAUUAUCUACUUGUAUCUUAUAAUGUUUAUCUUUCAUAUAUUCUCAUGUUUAUUGCAGUAAAUUGGAAAAAAUCCUGAAAAUCAGAAUUUGUUCAAACAAAUUAAUUUUUAUGUUACAAAUUAUAUUAAAAGUUACCAGAAAG